GCGAAAGCAUUCAUCAAUUCCAGUCCUAUUAAUCAAGAACGAAAGUUGGGGGAUCGAAAGUGAUUAGAUACCACUGUAGUCUCAACCAUAAACGAUGUCAUCUAUGGAUUCGUCUUGUACAUUUUUGAUUUGUGUAAUAGCAAAUCAUAUUCGUCAAGAGGAGCACAUUGUGAGAAAUCAAAGAGUCUGGACUCUGGGGAGAGUAUGGUAGCAAUGCUGAAAUUUAAAGGAAUUGACGGAAGUGGUACCACCAGGAGUGGAUCGUGCGGCUUAAUUUGACUCAACACGGGAAAACUUACCAGUGCCGAACAUAGUGAGGAUAGACAGACUGCAGCUCUUUCUUGAUUCUGUGCUUUUUUUACGUAGUGCAUGGCCUUUGGGAAGUGAGUGGAUUG
rnacentral:rRNA from 1 species